rnacentral:rRNA from 1 species
UACGGAGGGUGCAAGCGUUAAUCGGAAUUACUGGGCGUAAAGCGUGCGCAGGCGGUUAUGCAAGACAGAUGUGAAAUCCCCGGGCUCAACCUGGGAACUGCAUUUGUGACUGCAUAGCUAGAGUACGGUAGAGGGGGAUGGAAUUCCGCGUGUAGCAGUGAAAUGCGUAGAUAUGCGGAGGAACACCGAUGGCGAAGGCAAUCCCCUGGACCUGUACUGACGCUCAUGCACGAAAGCGUGGGGAGCAAACAGG